CGGCAUCUUCCCAAGAUGGCAGCUUUCGUUUGGGCUUCUUCCAAGUUUCGGGAUUUGGUGUUUUUGGGCCAAGAAGCAUAAUGCACAGCAGAGGCUGAAGAGUUUUCUGAGACAUUCUAUUUCUUUGCUUUGUUUUUAGCUGGUUCAGUUUGCUGAAAGACCGUUUACAAGCAGCAGUUGAUUGUGAAAGCAUCAUGUUACAAGAUUAUGAAUCGAGUUUUGAUAUCAGAAUUAUUUUAAAGUCCUAGUUAUUAUGACUUUACAGGAUGAACAAAUAAAAAUGGU
rnacentral:misc_RNA from 1 species